GGAGGGCGAGAAAGAGAGAAAAAAAUGACACGAGCUUCCAAAAACACAGUGGUGUUUUUCCUCUUUUCUUUUCCCUGUUCAUUUAAAAGCCCAAAAAUAUAAAGUGCAGGGUUCAGUUAAUCAAAGGGCCAAUGCUUUCUACUCCAAAGGCCCUUUAAUCUGAGGAGACAAUUCACAAACAUCUCUUCCCCAGGCAUUCCCCUUUCGCGUUCCAUUAAGAGGACGCUAAUGCAGCCUUAAAUUGAGUCGGAGUAGACUGCACCAUGCACCCUCCCAGGUCAGUGUUCAGACCCGCCGCUCAGGACCCGUAAGUAAGACAUCCUCCUGUUGAAAUCCUCCCCACACCCCGUCAGGUCUACCUUGCUUCAGGAAAGCCCACUAUAUGAAGCACU
rnacentral:lncRNA from 1 species